UACGUAGGGUGCGAGCGUUGUCCGGAAUUAUUGGGCGUAAAGAGCUCGUAGGCGGUGUGUCACGUCGGCCGUGAAAACCUGCAGCUUAACUGUGGGCGUGCGGUCGAUACGGGCAUCACUGGAGUUCGGCAGGGGAGACUGGAAUUCCUGGUGUAGCGGUGAAAUGCGCAGAUAUCAGGAGGAACACCGGUGGCGAAGGCAGCUCGCUGGGACGUUACUGACACUGAGGCGCGAAAGCGUGGGGAGCGAACAGG
rnacentral:rRNA from 1 species